ACGUAGGGGGCAAGCGUUGUCCGGAAUUACUGGGCGUAAAGGGUGCGUAGGCGGCAGUAAAAGUCUAAUGUGAAAUCCCCGUGCUUAACAUGGGGAUUGCAAUAGAAACUUUACAGCUAGAGUGCAGGAGAGGUAAGCGGAAUUCCUAGUGUAGCGGUGAAAUGCAUAGAUAUUAGGAGGAACACCAGUGGCGAAGGCGGCUUACUGGACUGUAACUGACGCUGAGGCACGAAAGCGUGGGGAGCGAACAG
rnacentral:rRNA from 1 species